AAUAAUUACAUGGUUACGUGCAAAAUACAUUCAAGCAGCAAUUGUGUGUUUAAAAUUUUCAAUGCAGAUAUGAUUUUAGCUCUUUAAUUAUUGUUUUGGCCCAAAAGAACAUUUAGACAUACCAAAGGAAAACACGCACAGAUAAACACAGCCCUGGAAUCUGCGUGGCAUUUUUGCUUUAACUUCCUCUCAUGUUUUUCAAAAUAAGUUUUAUUUUAGUGUUAUUUACAGAGAGAGAGGACCACUAAUGCAGAAGCCCAGGUGCAGAGGUGAUCAUACUGCUUUCAAAUCCAGUGAUAUGAUGGUAGACAGCAGGUGUUUGCAGAAGAUGGACACCUUGUGCGGAAACAAUUUCACUGCAGACACACACACCAUGAUGUCAAGGUAACCAGCAUGACUUCUCCUAAUGAUACUCAAUAAUGAUCAGGCAGCACUAUAUCACAUAUCCUUUAUUUAGAAAAGGUACAGCUGUCAACUUUCUCACUCUCUGAGGUAGUGUCACAUAAUUUCCUUUUGUUUCUUCACAUCAUCAUAAAUAAUGCUCAGCGAAUAUAAACAUCACUGAGUGAGCUCUGAUCUUUCAGGCCGUGGAA